GCCGCCCUCCGCUUGCUCCUAUGCCAAGGGAUGGGCAGUAAAUGCCUAGUCAACCUGAAGAACCUCAGACCGAUGUGACUCUGCCCAGAGCCAGGCCGGGGCAGCACCAGCCUGAUCCCUCUAUGUUCCCUCUAUGUGCCCCCCCCCCCCCCAGCCCAGUCUGGCCUGAUGCCCCCGAGGUCGGUGCGCCUGCUUCCGGUCCUCGCUCUGCUCCUCCCCCAGCAGCGCCUUCUACCACGCAUGCGCUCCACCCCUCCCUCUGUCACGGUGCCACUGGCUUUCUGUCACGCUCCCCAUUUCUGUCCCAAGGGUUACAGGAACUUAAAUGCAGUCCUCCGGUGGGUAUCCUGGGAAGCUAUUCUGUGCAACACCACGCCGCCACCGGUGACUCCUCUUCCUCCCUCCACCUGCUCUGUGCUCUACAGACAACAGUUAGUCCCUGACUGCUUCCGGCCCCAGGUAGGCCUGCUUUUCAGUUCACCGGAGCUCUCCUGCCGGGAGUCACGGACAAACACCUCAUUCCUUCCUCGCUGGGAACUGGAUGCAAAUAUGCUACGGGAGUCAUCCUUUCACAUUGGAGCUCCUAUCAGCACAUAUCUCUGGCCAAGUCUUCAAGGGCGCCACAUGCUUUGGGGCAAAGCUCAAAUUCCUCAGCGUCAUCUAAAGCGCCCUUCGUGAGAUGGCUCCUGCUUACUGUCUGGCCCCUGUUGGGAGAGGUGGUCCACAUGGGGGCCGAGUGUCUCUGCACACCCUUACCAAGCAUGCCAGACUGCAAGAAUUGCCCUCUCCUGACACUGAGCUGUUCCUGAAGCCAGUCACAUAGGGACCCAUGGAGAUCCAGGUGAUGACAGCAUGAUCACUGUGUUUCUGCUUGCUCCCUUGGAGUGGGGGACUUGAGAGCUGCUUGCUUCAAAAGGGCUGUGCCUUUGGGUCUGGGUUCCUCAGCUUCAGAGCAAACCUACUGAAUGUGUAGCAUGCAUCCGGGUCCAUCACAUGACUUCUGUGUCAUCUGGGGGAAAAAGGAGGCCAGUGCAAAUAUGCUGAAGAUAAAGCUGCUUGCU